AAUGGGGGAAACCCUGAUGCAGCCAUGCCGCGUGGUGAAGAAGGCCUUCGGGUUGUAAAGCACUUUCAGCAGUGAGGAAGGCGGUAUCGUUAAUAGCGGUAUUGUUUGACGUUAGCUGCAGAAGAAGCACCGGCUAACUCCGUGCCAGCAGCCGCGGUAAUACGGAGGGUGCGAGCGUUAAUCGGAAUUACUGGGCGUAAAGCGCAUGCAGGCGGCUUGUUAAGCCAGAUGUGAAAGCCCGGGGCUCAACCUCGGAAUCGCAUUUGGAACUGGCAGGCUAGAGUCUUGUAGAGGGGGGUAGAAUUUCAGGUGUAGCGGUGAAAUGCGUAGAGAUCUGAAGGAAUACCGGUGGCGAAGGCGGCCCCCUGGACAAAGACUGACGCUCAGAUGCGAAAGCGUGGGGAGCAAACAGGAUUAGAUACCCUGGUAGUCCACGCCGUAAACGAUGUCUACUUGGAGGUUGGUGUCUUGAACACUGGCUUUCGGAGCUAACGCGUUAAGUAGACCGCCUGGGGAGUACGGUCGCAAGAUUAAAACUCAAAUGAAUUGACGGGGGCCCGCACAAGCGGUGGAGCAUGUGGUUUAAUUCGAUGCAACGCGAAGAACCUUACCUACUCUUGACAUCCACGGAAUCUAGCAGAGAUGCUGGAGUGCCUUCGGGAACUGUGAGACAGGUGCUGCAUGGCUGUCGUCAGCUCGUGUUGUGAAAUGUUGGGUUAAGUCCCGCAACGAGCGCAACCCUUAUCCUUGUUUGCCAGCACUUCGGGUGGGAACUCCAGGGAGACUGCCGGUGAUAAACCGGAGGAAGGUGGGGACGACGUCAAGUCAUCAUGGCCCUUACGAGUAGGGCUACACACGUGCUACAAUGGCAUAUACAGAGGGCAGCAAGACCGCGAGGUGGAGCGAAUCCCACAAAGUAUGUCGUAGUCCGGAUUGGAGUCUGCAACUCGACUCCAUGAAGUCGGAAUCGCUAGUAAUCGUGGAUCAGAAUGCCACGGUGAAUACGUUCCCGGGCCUUGUACACACCGCCAGUCGCACCAUGGGAGUGGGCUGCACCAGAAGUAGCAUAGCUUAAUCCUUCGGGAGG
rnacentral:rRNA from 1 species